UACGAAGGGGCUAGCGUUGCUCGGAAUCACUGGGCGUAAAGGGUGCGUAGGCGGGUCUUUAAGUCAGGGGUGAAAUCCUGGAGCUCAACUCCAGAACUGCCUUUGAUACUGAGUCUCGAGUCCGGGAGAGGUGAGUGGAACUGCGAGUGUAGAGGUGAAAUUCGUAGAUAUUCGCAAGAACACCAGUGGCGAAGGCGGCUCACUGGCCCGGUACUGACGCUGAGGUGCGAAAGCGUGGGGAGCAAACAGG
rnacentral:rRNA from 1 species